AAAAAAAUCAAUCCCACCCCACAAGCUGUGACCAACUCCGUGCCUUUAUUCCCCCAGUUGGGGGGGGGAGGACAACCCCCCCACCCAUGGGUGCCCCCCAAAACCCCCCGGGUGCCCCCCAGGGUCACUUGCGGCGCAGGUAGAAGGAGGUGACAGCCGGGGGGGGGGCCACGGCCAGCGCCUCCCCCGGCCCCAGGGCCGUGCUGAGGAAGAGUCCGGGGAAGGCGGCCGCCUCGAAGGUGUGGGUGGAACCUCCAAAGGUCUUGUAGAAGGUGUAGGGGGUGGCCUCCUCCCCCCGCAUGAACAGGUCCAGCACGUCCACGUCCUGGCAUUUUUGGGGGGGGGGGGGGGGCACCAUGGGGUGGCCCCCCCCCAGGGAACCCCCCCCCCACUCCCGGGCCGCCAUCACCUCCAGGCCCCACCAUCUCCAGGUGCCACCAUCUCCACGUGCCACCAUCAUCUCCAGGUGCCCCCAUCAUCUCCAGGUGCCACCAUCAUCUCCAGGUGCCCCCAUCUCCAGGUGCCCCCAUCAUCUCCAGCUGCCACCACCAUCUCCAGGUGCCCUCAUCUCCAGGUGCCUUCAUCAUCUCCAGGUACCACCAUCUCCAGGUGGCCCCAUCAUCUCCAGGUGGCCCCAUUACCUCCAGGUGGCCCCAUCAUCUCCAGGUGCCCCCAUCAUCUCCAGGUGCCACCAUCUCCAGGUGCCCCCAUCUCCAGGUGUCCCCAUCAUCUCCGGGUGCCACCAUCUCCAGGUGGCCCCAUCAUCUCCAGGUGGCCCCAUCACCAGGUACCACCAUCUCCAGGUACCAUCAUCUCCAGGUGCCACCAUCAUCUCCAGGUGCCCCCAUCUCCAGCUGCCACCAUCAUCUCCAGCUGCCACCACCAUCUCCAGGUGCCCUCAUCUCCAGGUGCCUUCAUCAUCUCCAGGUACCACCAUCUCCAGGUGGCCCCAUCAUCUCCAGGUGGCCCCAUUACCUCCAGGUGGCCCCAUCAUCUCCAGGUGCCCCCAUCAUCUCCAGGUGCCACCAUCAUCUCCAGGUGGCCCCAUCAUCUCCAGGUGCCACCAUCUCCAGGUGGCACCAUCUCCAGGUGGCCCCAUCAUCUCCAGGUGGCCCCAUCAUCUCCAGGUGCCACCAUCUCCAGGUGGCCCCAUCAUCUCCAGGUACCACCAUCAUCUCCAGGUGGCCCCAUCAUCUCCAGGUACCACCAUCUCCAGGUGGCACCAUCUCCAGGUGCCCCCAUCAUCUGCAGGUGCCCCCAUCAUCUCCAGGUACCACCAUCUCCAGGUGCCCCCAUCUCCAGGCACCCUCAUCAUCUCCAGGUGCCACCAUCUCCAAGUACCCCCACCAUCUCCAGGUGGCCCCAUCAUCUCCAGGUGCCCCCAUCAUCUCCAGGUGCCACCAUCACCUCCAGGUGCCCUCAUCUCCAGGUGCCCCCAUCAUCUCCAGGUGCCCCCAUCAUCUUCAGGUGCCACCAUCUCCAGGUGGCCCCAUCUGCAGGUGGCCCCAUCUCCAGGUGCCCUCAUCAUCUCCAGGUGGCCCCAUCAUCUCCAUGUGCCACCAUCUCCAGGUGGCCCCAUCAUCUCCAGGUGCCCCCAUCAUCUCCAGGUGCCCCCAUCUCCAGGUGCCACCAUCUCCAGGUGCCCCCAUCAUCUCCAGGUACCACCAUCUCCAGGUGCCCCCAUCUCCAGGUGGCCCCAUCAUCUCCAGGUGGCCCCAUCUCCAGGUGGCCCCCCCCAUCUCCAUGUGGCCCCA
rnacentral:lncRNA from 1 species